rnacentral:rRNA from 1 species
AAUGUAGGCGGUUUUGCAAGUCAGGGGUGAAAUCCCUCAGCUUAACUGAGGAAGUGCCUUUGAAACUGCAUAACUAGAGGACAGGAGAGGAAAGUGGAAUUCCCGGCGUAGCGGUGGAAUGCGUAGAUAUCGGGAGGAACACCAGAGGCGAAGGCGGCUUUCUGGACUGAUCCUGACGCUGAGAUUCGAAAGCUAGGGGAGCAAACAGGAUUAGAUACCCUGGUAGUCC